rnacentral:lncRNA from 1 species
GGGAGGCUAGGGAUAGCAAGUCGGUAAUUAAUAAUAGGCUUUUUUCACCAAGGGAUUGGGUUAAGGGUCGGCUAGAAAGUUUGCAUGGCAAUUAGAUAAAUAAGUGAAGUAAAUAAGAAAAGUAGAUAUAUGAGAGUGGAUAAGAUGAAAAUGUAAACCCCAACAACACUAUUCAUCCAUAGUUUUUCAAAGCCAAUUGAAUGAACUGCAUUUGCAUGUUUAUUUUUGUUCUUUUCAUACAAACACCAACUUAAUUCUUUUCUCAAGUCUUACGCGAUUUGUUUACAUGAAAAGUAAGGCCUAAGAGUCCUUUGGGAAGAACGAUAUUGGGUUUACCAAUUAUAUUACUUGAUAACGAUCUGGUACACUUGCCAGUGGCUUAACAAGCACGUACACGUCUAGGGUGCUCAGGUCGUCCAAUCGCAGCGGUAAGAAUAUCCUGGCGACCCUCUGGAGUGAAUUGACCUUGGGAGCUCCGUUCAAUCAAGGAGUCCUGUAACAUUACAAAACACCAUUAUUCUUUAAAAUGUUUAAUGUAGUAUGUAUAAUGAAAUUAUUAUUAUUUUAG